UACAGAGGUCUCAAGCGUUGCUCGGAAUCACUGGGCGUAAAGGGUGCGUAGGCCGCACGGUAAGUCAGAGGUGAAAUCCCGGAGCUCAACUUCGGAAUUGCCUCCGAUACUGCCGUGCUUGAGGACUGGAGAGGAGAUUGGAAUUCACAGUGGAGCAGUGAAAUGCGUAGAUAUUGUGAGGAACACUAGUGGCGAAGGCGAAUCUCUGGACAGUUCCUGACGCUGAGGCACGAAGGCCAGGGGAGCAAACGGG
rnacentral:rRNA from 1 species